UGCAGUCGAGCGGGGGAAGGUAGCUUGCUACUGGACCUAGCGGCGGACGGGUGAGUAAUACUUAGGAAUCUGCCUAUUAGUGGGGGACAACGUUCCGAAAGGAGCGCUAAUACCGCAUACGCCCUACGGGGGAAAGCAGGGGAUCUUCGGACCUUGCGCUAAUAGAUGAGCCUAAGUCGGAUUAGCUAGUUGGUGGGGUAAAGGCCUACCAAGGCGACGAUCUGUAGCGGGUUUGAGAGGAUGAUCCGCCACACUGGGACUGAGACACGGCCCAGACUCCUACGGGAGGCAGCAGUGGGGAAUAUUGGACAAUGGGCGCAAGCCUGAUCCAGCCAUGCCGCGUGUGUGAAGAAGGCCUUAUGGUUGUAAAGCACUUUAAGCGAGGAGGAGGCUUACCUAGUUAAUACCUAGGAUAAGUGGACGUUACUCGCAGAAUAAGCACCGGCUAACUCUGUGCCAGCAGCCGCGGUAAUACAGAGGGUGCAAGCGUUAAUCGGAAUUACUGGGCGUAAAGCGCGCGUAGGUGGCCAUUUAAGUCAAAUGUGAAAUCCCCGAGCUUAACUUGGGAAUUGCAUUCGAUACUGGAUGGCUAGAGUAUAGGAGAGGAAGG
rnacentral:rRNA from 1 species